CUCGCACCUACAGUUCCGCAGCAACUCGGUUCCGGCGUCUCCUCCCCGGGCCGCAGCACUGGAACCCCUAAUGCAACAGAGAGUGGCUGAGAUGGAUAUGCCUCCUCCACUGGUUCAGGAAUUGAGGGAGGAAUUGAUCUGCAGACAGCUUUGCACUCACUGAGCACCAAGAUUUGGUAGAAAGCUUGAAAAGCAGUUACUCCCCCAUGGCAUGAAUGUGUCAGUGCCUUUUCCUGCUGCUGGAAUGAACUGACUGUAGUCAGAAGUGCCACCAACAUCUGGAUUUCUCUUCUUCAUUGUCAGAUACAUUGAUUUGUAUGGGUACUUUUAAUAAAUUCUGUUGUCAUAGGGUGGAGAUGGA